GCUUCGUAGCGCAGUGGACUAGCGUUGGUGUUAUCGCCCACCGCACUUGGGUUCGAAUCCCGGCGAAGGCG